rnacentral:rRNA from 1 species
AUUGAACGCUGUCGGCAGGCCUAACACAUGCAAGUCGAGCGAGCGGCGGACGGGUGAGUAAUGUAUGGGGACUGCCCGAUAGAGGGGGAUAACUACUGGAAACGGUGGCUAAUACCGCAUCCUAUCGGAUAACCCAUAUGGGAUUAGCUAGUAGGUGGGGUAAAGGCUCACCUAGGCGACGAUCUCUAGCUGGUCUGGGCGGAUGAUCAGCCACACUGGGAAGGAUGCAAGGCCCAGACUCCUACGGGGGGAGCAGGGGGGAAUAUUGCACAAUGGGGGGAAGCCUGAUGCAGGCAUGCCGCGGGUAUGAAGAAGGCCUUAGGGUUGUAAAGUACUGUCAGCGGGGAGGCGGUACCCGCAGAAGGAGCACCGGCUAACUCCGUGCCAGCAGCCGCGGUAAUUC